GGGGUGGGGGGCAGAGAGUUCAUAGCCCUGAGACCAGCCAUCCCCACAGGGCCGCCACCGCUCCAGCACCAUGUCACAGUGAAAAGAGGAGCCGCCAACGGGAGAACCGAGAAGAGGAAGAAGAAAACUCCUUCCUUGGUUUCACCCAGGCUGUGAACUCUCCAGGGCUUUCCCAACAGAGAGCUGCUUUCUACUGGCAGUCAUCAGAAUGACCAGCAUUCCAAGUGUAAACGCCAAAAGAAAAACUGGGCUUGAGAAGUUUAAAACUUAAAAUAUAGAAAAAGAAAAGAACAUACGAAAAAAUAUUUUUUUUACAAAUGAAGUAUGCUUUCAUUAACUUACAUCUAAUUUCUUCCACCUCUCUGCCAUCUUACAAGCCACUGCCAUACUAGAUCUCAAAGCACCAUUCUGAUUAUUGAUGCCCUAUUGCAUGGUCCCCAGUGGCUAUAUCCAUGGCCAUUUACUGUCUCUAAUCUACCUUUAUAGCACCAAACACCAUUGUUUUCAAUAUUUAAACUUCCCUUAUUGAUGCACUCUACACCAGCGGUUCCCAGUAUAGGCUCCCUUUUAGAAUCAUUUUGGUCAGGCCGGGGUUGGGGGCGGGGCGGUGGUGGGGGAACAUCUCAGAAAAUAUGGACGCUCAAAUACCACCUCCCAGAGAUCCUGAUUUAAUUAGGCUCUCCUGGUGCGUUAGAAUCAUUUUUUAAAAGCCUCCUAGUGAUUCAAAUGUGUAAGCAGGGUAUAGAAUCAUAAUUCUACCUCGUUCCCUAUAGCUGAAAUAACAAGUUCGACUUUGUCUAAAUCCUAUCUUUCCUUUAAGCUUCAGUGUAAGUGCCGUCAACCCCCAUGAAGUCUUUUCCCAAAGAGAAACACUCCCUGGCCCUUGGGCCACAAGCAGUAUAGUUGGUAAGUUAGUUGCAGACCAAGUUGAUGUCACACUAUCAUUAUGGACCGUUUAAAGCCUCUCCUGUUUCACUUAUCCUGCUUUAAGUCCCAUUUUUGCCCCUCCAUAGGCACCUAUUCUUGAGCAUUUGAUGUGCACUAUUUUUUUUAAACAGAUAUUGUUUCUCACACAGAUAUAUUUAAUAAAUAUUAUUAUUUUAGUAUAGUGAACAGUUACGUAUCACAAGAUUAUACUUAAUUUUCGUGUAACUAUAACCACCACCCUAAUCGUUAAAUAGGAUAUUACCGGCCGCACUCAAGCCUUCUUGUUCUCCUGCAAAUCACUAUUCCCUUCUUGCCGCCAAAAGAAUCUUCUUAACCUCAGAGAUUACUUUUGCUUGUUUCAGAGCUUUUUAUAACUUGAACAGUUCAAGGUGUAUUCUAUUGUGCCUGUUUUCUUGUAUUGAACAUUAUGUUUUUGAGAUUCACCCAUGUCGUUGCCUAUAGCAAGAGUUUGUUCAUGCUCAUUGCUGAAUAGUAUCCCAUUGUAUUAAUAUACCACAAUAUUUUUCCAUUCUCCUAUUAAUGGGCAUCUGAGUUUUCAGUUGUUGGCUAUUACAAAUAAUUCUGCUAUAGCGA